GGGCACAUGGUGUAGUUGGUUAUCACGCUCGCUUAGCAUUCUGUGGCCUGCGAGAGGUGUUGGGUUCAAUUCCCAAUGUGUCCA
rnacentral:tRNA from 1 species